rnacentral:lncRNA from 10 species
UUGGGAAGUCUCUACUGGAUAGGUAGUAAAAAUGGGAGGCUUUAAGAACUGAGGCUGUAGGUUCAGAAGAUAAUAGAAAUGGAGAGAAGGAAAACAGGCAGUAAGACAUUGAUGUUUUGACCCCUAAUCUAUGGGUUGAUGUCUUGGAGGGGGUCAAGGAGUGUACUGGAUAGUUUGAGAGGAACCAUUUCUAUGUAUAAUGCUGAUGUGGUGACAAACAUCUAAGUUGACACCGCGGCCUGGGAUGGCAGCUCCUUAGAGCCCUCCAGCUCUCGUAAGGAAUCCAGAAGUUCCCACAUGCCCUGUGGAGAGCUAGGGGGAGCUGGCUGAUGGUGCUGACUGGCCAGCCAGCAGAGAGUGUCACAGUGGCUCAAGAGAAGGGAUCCUGCAGCUCUGCUAUACUAGGUAGCACAUUCAGGUUUAGGAUGAAAAAAGUGUCUGGCAAUUCUCCAGAGAAACCAAAGCAAAAGAGAACUAGGAUGGAGCCUGACUGGCUGAUGGAUUAUUAACAGUUACCAGGUGCAGAGAACCAGCAGAUGCUGGGAGCUGUAGCAGUGAUUAAGGCAAAAAAUACCACUGCUGCAGAGGACAGUGAGGAUCCUAUAAGCUCCUCCAUAAACCAAAGUCCCUCUGUAUAAAGAGAAGGGAAACAGCCAUAAAACAACAUUGAAAAUCAACAAGCUGAGCUAUUCAGAAACAGUCUAUUGAAACACAGAAGUUACCACAUGACUACUUGCUAAGUUUAAAGUUUAAUUUUCAAUGCUCCAGAGGGUAGAUGGUGAGGGGCAGGGUUGAGAACAGUGAGGGUAGUAACAGCAGUUACAGAUAAUAAAAAUGCACAUGUUAGUGUGUCUGGCGAGUGACUUCCCUACAUAUAUUUUUUCAUAAGCAAGUUUUUCUUUUAAAAUUUUAUGAAGUUAAUUAUAGGUAUCUUUUCACAUUUCAGCUUCUGAUAAAGUCUUGGUCAUAAGAAAACAGUGAGGCCUGCCCAUGGACCAAUCAGCACACACUUUCUCUCCUGUGAAGCCCAUAAAAACCCUAGGCUCAGCCAGACAUGAGGAGAAGACAGGAUGACCAGCUAUGGAAAGAAGCUACCCACUCCAGGGUCUCCUCUCUGCUGAAAGCUGAGGAGAUGACAGGAUGACCAGCUGUGGAGAGGAGUUACCCACCAGGGUCUCCUCUCUGCUGAAAGCUGAAGAGAUGACAGGACAAUCAGCUGCAGAGAGAAGCAACACACUCCAGGUCUCUUCUCUGCUGAGAGAUGAAGAGAUGACAGGACUACCAGCUGCAGAGAGGAGCUACCAACCCCAGGGUCUCCUCUCUGCUGAGAGCUGAACACUCAUCAGGACACUCUGCCUGAGGAGAGGAGCUACCCAAUGUAGGUCUCCUCUGAGUUGAUCUGUCACUCAGUAAAGCUCCUCGUUGCCUUGCUCACCCUCCACUUGUCCAUAUACAUUAUUCUUUCAGGAUGCAGGACAAGAACUCAGCAUCCACCAAAUGGUGGGGCUGAAAGAGCUGUAACACAAACAGGCUGAAAUACAACCCUUGCUUGCCACAUUGUGGGUGACAAGGAGGGAAGAGAGAAGGAAAAAAGAGCUGUGGCCCUUUGGGGAGCCCAGACAUAGGAGCUCCCUGAGCGAGGGCUGUCACAUCCACUUUGGGGCUCUGCAGUUGAUGUCAUCUCCAAGAUUCUGAGUGCUACCAUGUUCUCCAGUGCCAGCCAUGGAAGCUGCUUGUGAUUCACCCGAUCCAGCCACAGCCUCACAGAGAGACAGUACCCAUACUGGCACCUGGAGCUGACUACCCUGCCCCGGCAGGCAUGCCUGGCUUUGCACAGUGGCCAGACCCCAUGCUUGCUCACACACCCCUUGCUGCUCUGUGUCUGGCUCACUCUUGGCAGGUGUGGGAUGCAGGCCAGUAGCUUAAGCCAAGUGCAGCCUGCCUGGCCAAGUGGGCAGAACAAGCCCAGCAGGCCAGAGCAAAACCCAGGCAAAGGCACCUUGGCAAAGAAGUUUCAGGCUGGUGAAGUGACAUCCCCAGAAUCCUGUUACUAAAUCACAUCCUGUGAGAAACAUUUGUUUUGCUCCUGAAAGGACUUAAAAUUGUCAAAAAUAGAAAAAAAUCUUACUGGCAUAUUUUGACCUUACUCCACAUCCUAUUUUCCAGUGUAUAGUCUCAGAAUUAUCAAUGACAAGGGAACUGAACAGUGAUUCUUCUGUUAUUAACUGAACAAGAACAAUAUAUUGUCUCUUCCUUCACACCCCACAUCUCACAUAUAUGUUUAUUUUUAUAUAUAGAUUGCAACAUACACACAGAGAAUAGAAAUUAAGUUGUAAAAUCACAUUUUGAGGGGUGGUAUACCUGAAAUGCUAAUAAAAAUGCUGUCUAGUUUGGGCAUAAAAGUACCACUGACUGUAGUGCAUGAUGGGAAAUAUCUUUUUUGUUUAAUCUAGGAAGCUGCUCAGUGAUGAAGUCUAUCAGAAACUAGCAAACAUACUGUAUUUGAAGUCUAUUAACAGUAGUGACUGGUGUAAGUGUAACAUAUCAAUAAUUCUUCUAUAUUGUAGAAUUGCAAAUUGUAAAUACUGCCAACAUACAAUAUGUUAAAAUGUCCAGGGCUUAUGAAGAGCCCAAUCCAGCACCUAAUAGCAAUUUUGAGUUUGUGAUAGACUCCUUAUUUUUCAAGAUUCAGUAAACAAAUGAAUAAAAUAAUCCAGAAGGAGAUAU